GGAUGUGAGGGCGAUCUGGCUGCAACAUCUGUCACCCCAUUGCUCGCCAGGGUUGAUUUGGCUGGUCUGGCUGGCUAGGUGGGUGUCCCCUUCCUCCCUCACUGCUCCAUGUGUGUCCCUCCUGCUAGGUUGAAGAGGACAAGGACGGCUGUCCCCCAAUAGAGACUGACCUGUCUUUGGUUUAGAGUAUGAGUAGCUGCGCUCCCCUGCUGGAACCUCCAAACAAGCUCUCAAGAAACAACAUCAACUCUUAUAUGCAAAUCUCAUACAUAAACCCAAGAAUGUAGAGACUAGAAUAUAAUUCACCAAAAUACUUU
rnacentral:snRNA from 1 species